AGGGUAUAGCUCAGUGGUAGAGCACAUGCUUAGCAUGAAAAGGUCCUGGGUUCAAUCCCCAGUCCCUCUG
rnacentral:tRNA from 1 species